rnacentral:rRNA from 1 species
GCUCCACCGAAAGAAAAGGAGUGGCGAACGGGUGAGUAACACGUGGGUAACCUGCCCAUCAGAAGGGGAUAACACUUGGAAACAGGUGCUAAUACCGUAUAGCAAUCGAAACCGCAUGGUUUUGAUUUGAAAGGCGCUUUCGGGUGUCGCUGAUGGAUGGACCCGCGGUGCAUUAGCUAGUUGGUGAGGUAACGGCUCACCAAGGCCACGAUGCAUAGCCGACCUGAGAGGGUGAUCGGCCACAUUGGGACUGAGACACGGCCAAACUCCUACGGGAGGCAGCAGUAGGGAAUCUUCGGCAAUGGACGAAAGUCUGACCGAGCAACGCCGCGUGAGUGAAGAAGGUUUUCGGAUCGUAAAACUCUGUUGUUAGAGAAGAACAAGGAUGAGAGUAACUGUUCAUCCCUUGACGGUAUCUAACCAGAAAGCCACGGCUAACUACGUGCCAGCAGCCGCGGUAAUACGUAGGUGGCAAGCGUUGUCCGGAUUUAUUGGGCGUAAAGCGAGCGCAGGCGGUUUCUUAAGUCUGAUGUGAAAGCCCCCGGUCAACCGGGGAGGGUCAUUGGAAACUGGGAGACUUGAGUGCAGAAGAGGAGAGUG